rnacentral:rRNA from 1 species
GAUGAACGCUGGCGGCGUGCCUAAUACAUGCAAAUCGAGCGAACGGACGAGAAGCUUGCUUCUCUGAUGUUAGCGGCGGACGGGUGAGUAACACGUGGAUAACCUACCUAUAAGACUGGGAUAACUUCGGGAAACCGGAGCUAAUACCGGAUAAUAUUUUGAACCGCAUGGUUCAAAAGUGAAAGACGGUCUUGCUGUCACUUAUAGAUGGAUCCGCGCUGCAUUAGCUAGUUGGUAAGGUAACGGCUUACCAAGGCAACGAUGCAUAGCCGACCUGAGAGGGUGAUCAGCCACACUGGAACUGAGACACGGUCCAGACUCCUACGGGAGGCAGCAGUAGGGAAUCUUCCGCAAUGGGCGAAAGCCUGACGGAGCAACGCCGCGUGAGUGAUGAAGGUCUUCGGAUCGUAAAACUCUGUUAUUAGGGAAGAACAUAUGUGUAAGUAACUGUGCACAUCUUGACGGUACCUAAUCAGAAAGCCACGGCUAACUACGUG